CCUAUGGAGAGUACAAGAACUUGUAAGUAGUGUCUGAAAAAUUUCAGGACGAAAGCAUACUCGAAGACGUAGGAA
rnacentral:ncRNA from 1 species